CCGCCAUCGCAGUUUUUUUAGCACGUGUGCUUUGCGGGAGCAGUCCUAUUUUCAAGCAGGUCAAGACCUGCUAUCAAAUCUACUACAAACUGCGAGCGAUAACAGCCGAAGCGACUCGAGCAAAUUUGCCCAUUUUGAGGAGAAGUAUUCGACAGAAGCACGGGGAAGUGACAAGCACAAUGGGUGGUCUCUGUUCCUGCUGCACGCCUUCGCUGUCGGAAGUGGACGAGCGGCCAGUGCUUGAAUCACGUUCAGAAGCAAUAGCCGCUGAGCCAGUGUACCGACCCAUCGCGUCCAACAUACCGGCCUUUAAUCAACCACCACUAGUGCCAAAAGGGCAGGCGUUAUCACCCCCAGCCCUGGAUCAACGACAUCAACCCGAAGCAUCGAGGGCGUGGUUAAUGACUUUCAGUGAGAAGGUACCGGUAUCCUGCUCUGGAGACUUUGUACAGCAGCGCUCUUCGUCUCAAGCCGAACCUAACAAGAUAGAGGGGCCUUUGAUAGUUUCGACCCCUCAGCUCGGAGGCCCCAGCGGCUGCUAAGACAUCCUAGCCACGUCUGGCUUUUAUAAGAGGUUCUGGCCCUGCUAUUAAGACUAACGCUUCGGUCUAAAUGUUCAUCUCCUGCAUAUUCAGUCUUCACUACGCAGCACCUCUGCUUUUCUUUUAAAUAAUGCGCGACCUGCUGUGUGGCUUUCAAACAAUGUACAUAUAUACACAAAGUAGAGUGCGCAUGUUUUUCGAACGCUUCUGCUACCCCUAUUGAUGGAAUAAAGCUUUGAUUUUAGCCUUCA